CAUCCGUAUCCAAUUGCACACUUGUCCAAACUCUUGAUGAUGAAGGAAUUAGAUGUGGAAUAAUUUUGCAAUGUUUGUUGUCUUAAGACCAGCACUGAUGAACGGGGAAAUAAGUUCUUAUCAACCAAGCAAACAAACUUCCAUUAUCCCAAGGAAGUCUUUCCAAGCUACUGCCUUUUAGGUUUGGAACACUUUUAGAGGUAACAAUCAAUAGGAAUUAGUUAUUCUUUCAAACUUCUUAUUGUACAAAUAUAACCUGCAUGUGCAACCAUUUAUGAUCCCAUAAUUUCAAGAAUUUAUGACACCUUCUAGUGGUUA